AAAGGCUUGAGUUCAAGUUCGGUCCGCCAUUUUGCGUUAGCCAAGAGUUCUAAGCGAAAUUUAACUGCUAUCGAGGUUAUUCCAUGGCGCAGUACGUAGGAUAUUUUUUGUCUAUUUUGAAUUGAUGAUUUAUCCGGUUUUAUCAAAGGUUUCAUAUUUCAAAACGUAAACAUCUCUUUUACGUGAAAGACCUUACUACGUGAGUGUAGGCUGGAAACCCACGCCAUGGAAAUUUUCAACCACUACGGAAAUGCAAUGCGUUGUGAUAGUACCACUUGAUAAGAUAUCUAAUGAAGGACGGCGCUUCGAAUUGGCGAUCAAGAUCACAGUUCUACACACAACCGCCCUAACGCGUUACACACGUAGAAAUGCGACAACCUACAAAAUGGCGGUAGGGGCGAACAUUUCAUGUGCGAUGCGUGCGCAGUAUAUGCCGUAAUGUAGUCCUUGUUAGCAGACUCCGCGAUUGGCGACAAUUCUACUCAUGACUCCAAUAGAUUGCUGAAGAUUGGCCGUUUCCACAGAGUUCGACUAAUCGCAUUGUUUCGCGUCGCGCAUAAAAGCCGCUGAACGAAUUUAAAUACAGAUGAUUUCAUUUGGUGAAAUUAUAUAUUUAUUUUCCAUACAUAAAGAGUAGAUGUUGGAGAACUUGAAUUACAUUUUCUUCACCUUCGUCUUGAAUUUUUAGUGAGCUAGUCGUUUGUAGUCGAUUUUUUCAAGUUGCACCAAGGGCUUCAGCUGUUCUGCAAAUAUCCUCAUAUCUUCAGCUAUUGCAUCUUGUCCACUAGGAGCUAAUACACUUAAUUCCACUAAAUAACUUUGUGAUAUUGGCUCCACACUCUCAGGCAAUUUUCCCUGCCCCAUUUUAAAUAUUUUUGAAACGGUUACCUUCAUUCUACCCUUACGAAACAUGUAACCCCUAACAAUGUACUCAAAAUCUAAUCUACAACCUAAUUCAGUGAGAAACUCCACAACUGUACUACUCGUUGCGAUAUCUAUGCUGCUCCUCACUAUUGUUGGUCGAGAUUUGUCACCCAGUUCUGGCUGCCCAAUGUAUCUCAAUUGCCAAGGCAUCUCCUGAUAAUCCAAAGCUCUACGGACUCGUAACAGCAAGGGUUGUUCCGGUGGAGAACCC
rnacentral:misc_RNA from 1 species